AUGAUACUGCCAUUGUCCCAAUUGAAAAUGCCAUAAGCCUACAUUGUCGUAUUAGUUUAAAAAAUGCGAAAAACCAAAUUAAAUUUGAAUUUCGCGGGAAGGCCCGUCAUGCCCCUUAAUGCAUAUACAUUAUUUAUAACAACAAAACUUAAUUCGCAAUUAAAUAUUCUACCUAUAUAUAAAAUAUUUACAAAAAUAAGGGCGCGUUCACACGAACAUCUUUUGUCUCGCAGCUGUCGUAUCAGACCCUAUUUUUUAAAACGGGCCUACUUACGCAAAUCAGAACUAAUUCACUGAAUGAUACUGAUUCUGACCGCAACUAAAUUUUAGAGUUUUCGCAUCCUUUUCUUACCAAUGUAAUAAGAAAAGGACAGACAAAGUUAAUUAAAUAUAAAACUGUCAAACCUCGUGGUUUACGCGUCAGUCCUGAGCAUAGUGUUUGAAAUUGUAAAGUGGCACUAAAAUUAAAUUUUAAAAUUCAUUUUCCGUCCUUUUUUAGCAAUAUUAAAAUGAAAAAGAUGCAGAUACUCUAAAUCUAGUUUAGAGAAAAAGUAACAGUUUUGAGGAAAAACAGUUUUAUAUAAAAAUUGUGUGCAAAUAUCGUUUAUUAUUUUUAAAAACAUAAUAUUGUAAAAAAAAAUAGAUUUUUCUCCACACAAUAAUUGAUUUUUCUCAACGUCAUCAUGGUGCAGAUUGGCACUGGUUUGCAUAAGUUAAAACAGACUAAUUAUAAUAUUACUAGAGGAUGCCCGCGGCUUCGCCCUCGUGGAUUUUGGUUUUCUUUGACCCUGAAGAACCUCUCAAAUUUUCCGGGAUAAAAAGUAGCCUAUGUCCAUCCCCAGAAUGUAGGAGUCUGUACCAAAUUUAAUUAAAAUCGGUUCAGCAGUUGGGCCGUGAAAACGUAGCAGACAGACAGACAGAAACACUUUCGCAUUUAUAAUAUUAGUAUGGAUUGAUGGGAGACAAAAAGGUCGCAAAGACAAAAGUUGGUCAUCUACGCUCGCCCUAAUAGUACCGAUUUAACUAGGUAAUCCUAAUACUUAUUAGUAUUACAGUAAAUUUUACAAAUAACACCUAAUUUAAAAAUAAAAACAACUUUCAACAUAAUGAGUUCAUUUACCACAAUUAUUAUACUUUUAGAUUCUAGCACAAUGAAUUCUAAAACCAAAGAAUUGGUUUUAUGUCAGUUUAGAAUCACGUUUUACAAGUGUAAAUUAAAAAUUAAUAACACCCCCGACAAGUGAAGGUUACAGUAACUAGAAAAGAGCUGAUAACUUUCAAACGGCUGAACCGAUUUUCUUGGAUUAUAGCUAAGAACACUCUCGAUCAAGCCACCUUUCAAACAAAAAAUAAAACUAGAUUAAAAUCGGUUCAUUAGUUUAGGAGCUACGAUGCCUGCUGCUAUCAGUGCCAAAUGGCGAAAACCAAGUUGCAUCAAAAACAGAUCGGCAAUCGCAGAUCCAGCGUACUUUCACCUAUUUUGUCUGGUCUAACA